AGAGUUUGAUCAUGGCUCAGGACGAACGCUGGCGGCACGCUUAACACAUGCAAGUCGAACGAGAGAAGAGAAGCUUGCUUUUCUGAUCUAGUGGCGGACGGGUGAGUAACACGUGAGCAAUCUGCCUUUCAGAGGGGGAUACCGAUUGGAAACGAUCGUUAAUACCGCAUAACAUAAUUGAACCGCAUGAUUUGAUUAUCAAAGAUUUAUCGCUGAAAGAUGAGCUCGCGUCUGAUUAGCUAGUUGGUAAGGUAACGGCUUACCAAGGCGACGAUCAGUAGCCGGACUGAGAGGUUGAUCGGCCACAGUUGGGACUGAGGACACGGCCCAGACUCCGUACGGGAGGCA
rnacentral:rRNA from 1 species